rnacentral:tRNA from 1 species
GCCCGGUUAGCUCAGUCGGUAGAGCAUCAGACUUUUAAGAGCUGAAAAAUCCUUUAGUCAUCUGAGGGUCGUGGGUUCAAGUCCCACAUCGGGCG